AGCAGCCGCGGUAAUUCCAGCUCCAAUAGCGUAUAUUAAAGUUGUUGCAGUUAAAAAGCUCGUAGUUGAAUUUCGGGAUCAGUAAGCCGGUCGUACCUUCGGUAUGUACUGGUGUCACUGAUUCCUCCCUUCUGAUGAACCGUUAUACCAUUUAGUUGGUGUGGCGGGGAAUCAGGACUGUUACUUUGAAAAAUUAGAGUGUUUAAAGCAAGCUCACGCUUGAAUACAUUAGCAUGGAAUAAUAAAAUAGGACGUUUGAUCUCCUAUUUUGUUGGUUUCUAGGAUCGACGUAAUGAUUAAUAGGGAUAGUUGGGGGCAUUAGUAUUCAAUUGUCAGAGGUGAAAUUCUUGGAUUUAUUGAAGACUAACUACCGCGAAAGCAUUUGCCAAGGAUGUUUUCAUUAAUCAAGAACGAAAGUUAGGGG
rnacentral:rRNA from 1 species